GGGGAUGUGGCUCAGUGGUGGAGUUUUUGCCUUAUAUGUACAAGGCCCUGAGUUCAAUCCCCAGCACCACAA
rnacentral:tRNA from 1 species